rnacentral:rRNA from 1 species
UGGGGAAUAUUGCACAAUGGGGGAAACCCUGAUGCAGCGACGCCGCGUGAACGAAGAAGGUAUUCGUAUCGUAAAGUUCUGUCCUAUGGGAAGAUAAUGACAGUACCAUAGAAGAAAGCUCCGGCUAAAUACGUGCCAGCAGCCGCGGUAAUACGUAUGGAGCGAGCGUUGUCCGGAAUUAUUGGGCGUAAAGGGUACGCAGGCGGUUUAAUAAGUCGAAUGUUAAAGAUCGGGGCUCAACCCCGUGAAGCAUUGGAAACUGAUAAACUUGAGUAGUGGAGAGGAAAGUGGAAUUCCUAGUGUAGUGGUGAAAUACGUAGAUAUUAGGAGGAAUACCAGUAGCGAAGGCGACUUUCUGGACACAAACUGACGCUGAGGUACGAAAGCGUGGGGAGCAAACAGG